AUUUGGCCCCUUUUGGAUUAUGAUCCUGUGUCAGAGUGACGUUUUGAGUCUGAUUGGCGUGAAGUGUGAUACUCAUGUGAUGAUCUGCUGACAGAAUAAAUAAAUUGUAGAAAGUGCCAAGACUGUUCAGGCAUUUGCUGUAAUAUCACUCCCACAGGAGGAACCUUCAUCACAGUCUUUCUUCAAGUAUGUUCUCUCCUCUGGGUCAGAGUUUCCUGCAGAACAGAAAUUCCAAUUUUGACCAUCUCUCCGUGUAGUGAAUACUUCACUCACUGUGACUCUUUGCCAACUCAAUGAAAAGGUCCAGAGACUUCUUUGCAGCAGCAGAAUACCCACCUGCCAUGUUCCAGUUGCUUUCCACUUCUGGCUGUACCACCUGAAUGUAGAAAGCUAAUAAAGUAGGUCCAGAAUUUUGCA
rnacentral:lncRNA from 1 species